rnacentral:rRNA from 1 species
AACGAACGCUGGCGGCAGGCCUAACACAUGCAAGUCGAGCGAACCCUUCGGGGUUAGCGGCGGACGGGUUAGUAACGCGUGGGAAUAUACCCUUUGGUACGGAAUAGCCUCGGGAAACUGAGAGUAAUACCGUAUGUGCCCUUCGGGGGAAAGAUUUAUCGCCAAAGGAUUAGCCCGCGUUGGAUUAGAUAGUUGGUGGGGUAAUGGCCUACCAAGUCUACGAUCCAUAGCUGGUUUGAGAGGAUGAUCAGCAACACUGGGACUGAGACACGGCCCAGACUCCUACGGGAGGCAGCAGUGGGGAAUCUUAGACAAUGGGCGCAAGCCUGAUCUAGCCAUGCCGCGUGGACGAUAAAGGCCUUAGGGUUGUAAAGUCCUUUCAGAUGGGAAGAUAAUGACGGUACCAUCAGAAGAAGCCCCGGCUAACUCCGUG